AGAUAUGAGGAUCGCAUUCUUUUGUUCGUUUAUUUACAAGCUGUUAAAGGCAUUACGUAAUGGGCAUCAAGUUUCCCUGUACGUGGUUCUUUUAGCACGUAUACGCAAUCGGUCGCCUCAAACGUUACUUUGUUCCCAUUGCCAUAAUUUUGUUCUAAAACCAGAUUUUCUACUCUCUAGAUUUUUCUGUAUUAAUCGUCUGAUUUUUUUUAUGAAAUGUACGCAAGUUGGGUAUGUCAGGGGAAGUCGUUGUGUGAUAAUGGCGUGGAUUUUUAAAUCAUCCGUUUGUUUGGGGCCGGUAUGCUGAUGUCAACACAUAGCCAAUUGUGAAUUCCAUUAUCUCGUUGGAAAAAGUCUCUUCUGUCAUUAUAAAUGAAGCGAGGUGCAACGAAGAUUGUGCUGAAUUAUCCGCAUUGGGCGUUUGCGAUUUCUUCAAUCCAACGAUGUUUGCAAAAUGACAUUCCGGGAUGGUGUUUGACGGUACUACACUUGGGAUAGAGGCUUCCAAGGUAAGCGUCCUGGCUUCAGUCAACUUUGGGACGGUUCCAUUGGCAAUUAGGAAUUGCCCCACGUCAUUGCUGAAUCUUGCUGCCUCGAUCCAUAUUCUUGGUGAAGAUCUCACUUCAAUAUAGAUCGUCGAAGAUCGAGACCUUGUCCGUACGUGGAAGCACUCGCCUUGUUUCUAGGCUGCAGACAAGUGCAAUUAUUGAAGUCCUCCUUUUGAUCACGGAGUAACAGGAAUUUGUUGACGAUAUCCUUCAUUGAUAAAUUCUCACUUUCGUUAGAGAAUAUGUAAUGCUCAGGCGUCAUGAUAGGUUCGAGUUGCCAAAGAUCUGGAUCCUUCGAUUCUGCAUUUCGUCAUAAUACAUCGUACGCUGAUAUUUGUCAUCAUCGAUGAAGUCAACCGACUGACUCCAUUCUAUCCAAAUAUACCGAUUAUCAUACGAUCUCAGGAAGAGGAAGUGAGGAAGUCCGAGUGCGUCUAUCUCGUCAAGUUUCGGUAUGUGUCACUUUUUAGGUAGGUCGAAUGAUUCGUCUAAUGUCGAAGAGAGCGUAAUGCAAAUUUAAUACAGUAAGGGUGGCGGUAAGCCUGAAAUACAAUAUUUUCGACUUCG